ensembl:lncRNA
AUGGCUAGCUGUGUCCUUGAAUUGGGAUCACCCGUCUCGAACUCACAGGUCUGUUUAUCUUCCUCACGUCGGUCAUGUGCGCACGUUUGCAUCGCUUGUCACCUGCGCUCUAUUUGUUUGUUUGGGGAGAAUUUGACAACCAAAUCCAUGGAAUUCUUGAAGUUUAUACGUGGCUUGUUGAUUCCGUGCAAAUCUUGUAAAAAUGCAUGCAAGAAACACAAGAAACAGUGUGCAACAUUUGAACACAACCGCACACUUUUUGUUAUCGUGUUUUACAGGAUGGAAAGUGGAGAUUGUAAUGGUCUUCGGCCACGUAUGCGAAUCAUCCCCGAAAUGCCUGCGUUUCCUGACCUGAAAAGCCCUAUUGUGAUGGAAGGCAGUCAGGCUGAGGAACGGCAGGGCUUUGGAGACCUCAUAAACAGCAACGGAAAAAUGGAAUUAGAAUAUGUGAUCAGCAAGAAACUGCAACUGAAGAUGAAAGCAGAGGUUUGUUAUAAGGAAAAAGCCUUAAUAUCUAAGUUAUUAUUCCUCUUUAUUACCAUUAUUAGGGGUCCAAGCCAACAGGAUUGGAUCCCUAUUGUUUUUGUAAGGAUUUUUAGGGGUCCAAGCCAACAGGUUGGAUCCCUAUUGUUUUUGUAGUGUUUAUUAUUAUACUUACCUCCUUGAAAGUGGUACCGCAGCCCAAACCGUAAAUGGUGCCGACACGCCAAUUGCAUGACUAGAUCCAGAUCCGUGGGGACUACGCAGACGCCAAAAUCCAGACAUGCCGGCCACUAGGUGGCGCUAUACCUAGGAAAACACGUUCGGGGCUAUAACUCCCACACCGAACCUUCCAGAGUCCAAAAACUUGUACCCAAAGAUGCACUGGAGUCUGCUGCAUCUUUUGACCUAGGCCACGCCCAUUUGCGUCUAUGAAUAUUUUUCGCUAAAUCGCGAAAACCGCAAAAAUGUUUUUUCGCUACUCCUCCCACAUUUCUCGACCAAUCAACACCAAACUUUACACACGGCAUCUUCAGACUUACACGAAAAGAAUUCCUGCAUUACUUUUUUGAUCCGACCUUCGACGACGAAACGGUUGCGUUUUGAAUUUUGGUUUAUUAGCUAAAUUAGACGUGGAAAAUCCAAAAUCCCAAAAAAAUCAAAAUUACACAUCGGAUCGACUCCAAAUUUUACACACAUGUUGGUGCUAACCUUACUGUCGUACGACAAAAACUUCGGAAAAUUUCGCCAUUAGGGGGCGCCAUAAACGAGGAAAUUGUAUAUCUUCUACAAAAUUUCGCCGCGAAAACGCUACACUGACUUCUCGCUACUCCUACCACAGUCAAAUCCUUUGUAUCCACAGGUUCAGGGUAGCGUUUUGAACACAUGCUUCGCGUUGUGCCGGCGAAACGCACAUUUCUUGUCGCGUUGUGCCGGCGAAAUGCACACUUCUUGGACCCCUGCAUAACUGCUUGCAGUUCUAGUUAUUAUUAUUAGGGGUCCAAGCCAACAGGUUGGAUCCCUAUUGUUUUUGUAAGGAUUUUUCUUCCUAUUAUUAUUAUACUUACCCCCCUAAAAGUGGUACCACAGCCCAAACCGUAAAUGGUGCACACACGCCAAUUACAUGACUAGAUCCCGAUCUCUUCGGACUACGCAGACGACAAAAUCCAGACACGCCGGUCACUAGGUGGCGCUAUACCAAGGAAUACGCGUUUGGGGCUAUAACUCCCACACCGAACCUCCCACAGUCAAAAACUUGUACG